rnacentral:lncRNA from 1 species
UGAAUUUUCUUCCGCGGAAUUCCGAGCGCUGGUGCUUCGAGGGCGACAGCGAUAGGUUCCUUGCCUUACUGUCGAGUUCCGCCGAACUUUGGCGGGACCUCUGGAGAAGACGUGG